rnacentral:rRNA from 1 species
AUUGAACGCUGGCGGCAGGCCUAACACAUGCAAGUCGAACGGUAACAGGAAGCAGCUUGCUGCUUCGCUGACGAGUGGCGGACGGGUGAGUAAUGUCUGGGAAACUGCCUGAUGGAGGGGGAUAACUACUGGAAACGGUAGCUAAUACCGCAUAACGUCGCAAGACCAAAGAGGGGGACCUUAGGGCCUCUUGCCAUCGGAUGUGCCCAGAUGGGAUUAGCUAGUAGGUGGGGUAACGGCUCACCUAGGCGACGAUCCCUAGCUGGUCUGAGAGGAUGACCAGCCACACUGGAACUGAGACACGGUCCAGACUCCUACGGGAGGCAGCAGUGGGGAAUAUUGCACAAUGGGCGCAGGCCUGAUGCAGCCAUGCCGCGUGUAUGAAGAAGGCCUUCGGGUUGUAAAGUACUUUCAGCGGGGAGGAAGGGAGUAAAGUUAAUACCUUUGCUCAUUGACGUUACCCGCAGAAGAAGCACCGGCUAACUCCGUG